AGGGUUUGAUCAUGGCUCAGAUUGAACGCUGGCGGCAGGCCUAACACAUGCAAGUCGAGCGGUAGAGAGAAGCUUGCUUCUCUUGAGAGCGGCGGACGGGUGAGUAAUGCCUAGGAAUCUGCCCGGUAGUGGGGGAUAACGUUCGGAAACGGACGCUAAUACCGCAUACGUCCUACGGGAGAAAGCAGGGGACCUUCGGGCCUUGCGCUAUCAGAUGAGCCUAGGUCGGAUUAGCUAGUUGGUGAGGUAAUGGCUCACCAAGGCGACGAUCCGUAACUGGUCUGAGAGGAUGAUCAGUCACACUGGAACUGAGACACGGUCCAGACUCCUACGGGAGGCAGCAGUGGGGAAUAUUGGACAAUGGGCGAAAGCCUGAUCCAGCCAUGCCGCGUGUGUGAAGAAGGUCUUCGGAUUGUAAAGCACUUUAAGUUGGGAGGAAGGGUUGUAGAUUAAUACUCUGCAAUUUUGACGUUACCGACAGAAUAAGCACCGGCUAACUCUGUGCCAGCAGCCGCGGUAAUACAGAGGGUGCAAGCGUUAAUCGGAAUUACUGGGCGUAAAGCGCGCGUAGGUGGUUUGUUAAGUUGGAUGUGAAAUCCCCGGGCUCAACCUGGGAACUGCAUUCAAAACUGACUGACUAGAGUAUGGUAGAGGGUGGUGGAAUUUCCUGUGUAGCGGUGAAAUGCGUAGAUAUAGGAAGGAACACCAGUGGCGAAGGCGACCACCUGGACUAAUACUGACACUGAGGUGCGAAAGCGUGGGGAGCAAACAGGAUUAGAUACCCUGGUUAGUUCCACGGCCGGUAUAACGA
rnacentral:rRNA from 1 species